CCUACGGUGUGCAGCAGUGGGGAAUAUUGGACAAUGGGCGAAAGCCUGAUCCAGCCAUGCCGCGUGUGUGAAGAAGGCCUUCGGGUUGUAAAGCACUUUCAGUGGGGAAGAAAGCCUUGGGGCUAAUACCCUCGAGGAAGGACAUCACCCACAGAAGAAGCACCGGCUAACUCCGUGCCAGCAGCCGCGGUAAUACGGAGGGUGCGAGUGUUAAUCGGAAUUACUGGGCGUAAAGCGCGCGUAGGCGGUCUGAUAAGCCGGUUGUGAAAGCCCCGGGCUCAACCUGGGAACGGCAUCCGGAACUGUCAGGCUAGAGUGCAGGAGAGGAAGGUAGAAUUCCCGGUGUAGCGGUGAAAUGCGUAGAGAUCGGGAGGAAUACCAGUGGCGAAGGCGGCCUUCUGGACUGACACUGACGCUGAGGUGCGAAAGCGUGGGUAGCAAACAGGAUUAGAUACCCCAGUAGUC
rnacentral:rRNA from 1 species